GAGCCAAUCAGAGGGCCGGGAUAGUCCCACUGGGAUGUACGGGUGACGGUCUCGACCCUUCGAGACCGUCUCGCGGAGACCAAGUUGAUACCGCGGCCCCGCUAGGAGCAUCCAAAAUCUCCUUCCCCAUCUUUGGGUUGAUCCCCAGCUUUUCUUCAGGUUUUAAUCCAUCCAUCUGGAACUGAAAUGAAACCUGUGUGCUAUCUAAAAAUUCAAGAGCCAAAAAUAAUCAUCCACUGAGAUUAGCAACGAAGUUUCAAAUGCCAGAAAGUUUAUCAGGAGCAUAAUGCCAAAGAUUCCUUCCCAUCUGUGGGUUGAACCCAAGCUUCUCUUCGGGUUAGAAUCCAUACAUCUGGAACUGAAACGAAUCCUGUGCUAUCUCAUAAUCCAAGGGCCAAAUAAAAUAUCCACUGAGAUAAGCAACAAAAUUUCAAAUGCCAAAAAAUUUAUCAGUUUUUCUUCAGGUUUGCAUCCAUCCAUCUGGAACUGAAAUGAAACCUGCGACAUCUCAAAAUCCAAGAGCCAAAUAAAAUCAUCCACUGAGAUAACCAAGAAGUCUCAAAUGCCAGAAAAUUUAUCAGGUUAAAAUCCAUCCAUCUGGAACUGAAAUGAAACCUGUGCUAUCUCAAAAUCCAAGAGCCAAAUACAAUCAUCCACUGAGAUUAGCAACAAGGUUUCAAAUGCCAGAAAAUUUAUCAGGGGCAUCAUGCCAAAGACCCCUUCCCCUUCUUUGGAUUGAUCCCCAACUUUUCUUCAGGUUUAUAACCAUCCAUCUGGAACUGAAAUGAAACCUGCACUAUCUCAAAAUCAAAGAACCAAAUAAAAUCAUCCACUGAGAUAAGCAAGAAGUCUCAAAUGCCAGAAAAUUUAUCAGCUUUUCUUCAGGUUAAAAUCCAUCCAACUGGAACUAAAAUGAAAUGUGUGCUAUCUCAAGAGCCAAAUUAAAUCAUCCACAGAGAUUAGCAACACAGUUUCAAUUGCCAGAAAAUUUAUCAGCUUUUCUUCAGGUUAAAAUCCAUCUAUCUAGAACUGAAAUGAAACCUUUGUUCUAUCUCAAUAUCCAAGAGCCAAUUAAAAACAUCCACUGAGAUAAGCAACAAAGUUUCAAAUGCCAGAAAAUUUUUUCAGGAGCAUCAUGCCAAAGACCUCUUCCCCUUUUUUGGAUUGAUCCCCAGCUUUUCUUCAGGUUUAUAACCUUCAAUCUGGAACUGAAAUGGAACCUUCACUAUCUCAAAUUCCAAGAGCCAAAUAAAAUCAUCAACUGAGAUAAGAAACAAGUCUCAAAUGCCAGGAAAUUUAUCAGGUUAAAAUCCAUCCAUCUGGAACUGAAAUGAAACCUGUGCUAUCUCAAGAUCCAAGAGCCAAAUAAAAUCAUCCACUGAGAUUAGCAACACAGUUUCAAAUGCCAAAAAAUUUAUCAGGUAAAAAGGAAGCAAAAUUUUCAAUUAAUCAAUUAAACUGCUGUCCAAAUUGAUUCCAUCUUUAGAUUAUUCCCCAGCAGCUUUUCUUCAGGUUAAAAUCGAUCCAUCUGGAACUGAAAUGAAACCUGCGCUAUCUCAAAAUCCAAGAGCCAAAUAAAAUCAUCCGCUGAGAUAAGCAACAAAGUUUCAAACGCCAGAAAAUGUAUCAGAAGCAUCAUGCCAAAGACCCCUUCCCCUUCUUUGGAUUGAUCCCCAGCUUUUCUUCAGGUUUAUAACCAUCCAUCUGGAACUGAAAUGAAACCUGCACUAUCUCAAAAUCCAAGAACCAAAUAAAAUCAUCCACUGAGAUAAGCAAGAAGUCUCAAAUGCCAGAAAAUUUAUCAGCUUUUCUUCAGGUUAAAAUCCAUCCAACUGGAACUAAAAUGAAAUGUGUGCUAUCUCAAAAUCCAGGAGCCAAAUAAAAUCAUCCACUGAGAUUAGCAACAAAAUUUCAAAUGCCAGAAAAUUUAUCAGGAGCAUUAUGCCAAAGACUCCUUUCCCAUCUAUGGGUUUAACCCCAGCUUUUCUUUGGGUUAAAGUCCAACCAUCUGGAACUGAAAUGAAACCUGUGCUAUCUAAAAAUCCAUGAGCCAAAUAAAAUCAUCCACUGAGAUUAGCAACAAGGUUUCAAAUGCCAGAAAAUUUAUCAGGAGCAUCAUGCCAAAGACCCCUUCCCCUUCAUUGGAUUGAUCCCCAGCUUUUCUUCAGGGUUAUAAUCCAGGGUUAUAAUCCAUCUGGAACUGAAAUGAAACCUUCACUAUCUUAAAAUCCAAUAGCCUAAUAAAAUCAUCCACUGAGAUUAGCAGCAAACUUUCAAGUGCCAGAAAUUUGAUCAGGUAAACGGAAAGUCAAAUUUUCCGUCAGUAGAAGCUGAUAUCCAAAAUAAUCUACAAGAAUCGUGAAAACGGCUCUUCAAAAUCUCACACGAUGGCUAAUCCAGUUGAACAUUUUGAACGCCGACGUUUUGGCCCAGUCACUGUUCGCUUGCGAACUGUAUUCGGCGGCCGAACGGAAUCCAUAUUGUUUCGUUUGCCAGUCACGAAUAAUAUCCUUCACCUCCUGAGGGCUCAUUUCCAAAUCCUCCAGAUCGACACGAUUUGCAGCUGCAUAAUCGCCGACUGUGAAAAUAUCUGGUCUCUUCUUCCUCGUCUCCUCCUUGAUCUUACCAACAGCAACUGAAGCACAGCCCUUGGGUGCUACUGGAUAGUUAGGAGAAAGCGGAGGUAGAGUCUGCCAUCGGAUCAAAGCAUCCAUCCGUUUCUUGGCUUGCUUGAACUCCUCGCACUUCAUGGUCAUAUCCACCGACUGCUCCUCCAGUCGAAGCUUGGCGAGUUGUUCGCUGAUCUGGUUUUUGGGGAACCUCAAAACCCUUUCCUCCUUCGAAAGCUUGAAAGCAACGGCGCCAGUGGCCCCGGUCGCAAUGGCACCGACUCCUCUAGAUAACUGAGUAAAGCGCAUCAUCUCGAAAUUCUGGUUCAAAAUCAAUAUUCGCACAAGUCACUGAACAAAAUUCCACUUGGCGAUGAAAAAUUCUGCAACGGAAAUCUUUGUAUGGUAAGCAAUAUAGGCUGAGAAAACAAACGUAGUUAGAUACGCAAUAGAUUUUCGGGAUUUACAUGUAGUAAAAUGGGGAUUCCCACCUAACGGGCAAGAGUACGCCACUGCACUUUUUUGCUAUUUUAAACAAAAUUUGAUGAUUAAUUUUCAUUUUUUAUGGUAAUUUAAGUUUAUUUUAAUUUAAAACACAAUAUUCAAAAUGAUUUUUUCAAAAAUAUUUCAUUGUUAAAGUUUUAUCGACCUAUUAUUGCCCCAAUAUCAUAGUGCGACGUAGGGCAGCGGGUGGUGGGCUAUUAUCUAGGUCACACUGGUCACAGCUUCAAACGCUUUUCUCCACAUGAAUUUACACAAGAUUCAAUUCAAUUAGGAAAAUUUCUGAUUAUUUUGUGACCAUUCAAUAAAUAGAAAGGGCGAACGGGAAGAUCAUCACUUACGGUAAUGUAGCCUAUUUUUAAGACUUAACAGUUAAAGGGGGCCAUGUAAAAGAAUACUAACAUUCUCUUGCAAUCUUAUUUCAAGCAUUGUUGUAUUGUUUUCCCUCCCGACCAUCGUAAUAAGAAGUGAAAAUCAAGAAAAAAAUAUUUUCGUCAAAGUUAACCCCGUUGCGCCAAGGGACGGUGCGCGUUUGAAUAUUUGGCACCAAGGCGCUUGGCGAAGUCUGGGCAAGGAAAAUUUCUGUACAAGUCACCGUAGAACAAAAACUGUAUGAUGACUAAUCGAUCCUUGUGCGCCACCAUGUAUUGUAUGUACCUUUAGGAUUUACAUGCCUAGAGGAAGGCGCCAUUACACAGUGGUAUUGUAGAAAAGAGAACCUUUCGAAUUGCCAACUUGUUGGUUUCUAAGGUACGGAUAGAUUCGCCGUUGGGGAAGGAGGGACAUUAACCAUGGAAACAGGGAAAAUGCUAGCACGUCGUACAACAACAACUUCUUUAUUUUUUGAAAGCAUCAUAACAUCAAUAUAGAAAUUCCAAUGGG
rnacentral:lncRNA from 1 species